GAAGCAAAGGGUCAUUCUGCCAUCAAUGAGGUGGUGAUCCAAGAAUACACCAUCAACAUUCACAAGCGCAUCCAUGGAGUGCGCUUCAAGAAGCGUGCCCCUCGGGCACUCAGAGAGAUUCCGAAAUUUGCCAUCAAAGAGGUGGAAACUCUAAGUGUGCGCAUUGAUAGCAGGUUCAACAAAGCUCUCUGCGCCAAAGGAAUAAGGAAUGUCCCGUACCGAAUCCGUGUGCAGUUGUCCAGAAAACGUAAUGAGGAUGAAGAUUCACCAAAUAAGCGCUAUACUUUGGUUACCUAUGUACCUGUUAGCACUUUCAAAAAUGUGCAGACAGUCCAUGUGCAUGAGAACUAA
rnacentral:lncRNA from 1 species